rnacentral:rRNA from 1 species
UCCGUAGGGAGCAAACGUUGUCCGGAAUCAUUGGGCGUAAAGAGCUCGUAGGCGGUUUGUCACGUCUGCUGUGAAAACUCGGGGCUUAACCCCGAGCUUGCAGUGGAUACGGGCAGACUAGAGGUAGGUAGGGGAGAAUGGAAUUCCCGGUGUAGCGGUGAAAUGCGCAGAUAUCGGGAGGAACACCGGUGGCGAAGGCGGUUCUCUGGGCCUUACCUGACGCUGAGGAGCGAAAGCGUGGGGAGCGAACAGG